UUAUGGGUGGCGAGUGGCGGACGGGUGAGGAAUACAUCGGAAUCUACUCUUUCGUGGGGGAUAACGUAGGGAAACUUACGCUAAUACCGCAUACGACCUACGGGUGAAAGCGGAGGACCUUCGGGCUUCGCGCGAUUGAAUGAGCCGAUGUCGGAUUAGCUAGUUGGCGGGGUAAAGGCCCACCAAGGCGACGAUCCGUAGCUGGUCUGAGAGGAUGAUCAGCCACACUGGAACUGAGACACGGUCCAGACUCCUACGGGAGGCAGCAGUGGGGAAUAUUGGACAAUGGGCGCAAGCCUGAUCCAGCCAUGCCGCGUGGGUGAAGAAGGCCUUCGGGUUGUAAAGCCCUUUUGUUGGGAAAGAAAAGCAGUCGGUUAAUACCCGAUUGUUCUGACGGUACCCAAAGAAUAAGCACCGGCUAACUUCGUGCCAGCAGCCGCGGUAAUACGAAGGGUGCAAGCGUUACUCGGAAUUACUGGGCGUAAAGCGUGCGUAGGUGGUGGUUUAAGUCUGUUGUGAAAGCCCUGGGCUCAACCUGGGAAUUGCAGUGGAUACUGGGUCACUAGAGUGUGGUAGAGGGUAGCGGAAUUCCCGGUGUAGCAGUGAAAUGCGUAGAGAUCGGGAGGAACAUCCGUGGCGAAGGCGGCUACCUGGACCAACACUGACACUG
rnacentral:rRNA from 1 species